CGACCUGAGAGGGUGAUCGGCCACACUGGGACUGAGACACGGCCCAGACUCCUACGGGAGGCAGCAGUAGGGAAUCUUCCACAAUGGGCGAAAGCCUGAUGGAGCAACGCCGCGUGAGUGAAGAAGGUUUUCGGAUCGUAAAACUCUGUUGUAAGGGAAGAACAAGUACAGUAGUAACUGGCUGUACCUUGACGGUACCUUAUUAGAAAACCACGGCUAUCUACGUGCCACCAGCCGCGGUAAUACGUAGGUGGCAAGCGUUGUCCGGAAUUAUUGGGCGUAAAGCGCGCGCAGGCGGUCCUUUAAGUCUGAUGUGAAAGCCCACGGCUCAACCGUGGAGGGUCAUUGGAAACUGGGGGACUUGAGUGCAGAAGAGGAAAGUGGAAUUCCAAGUGUAGCGGUGAAAUGCGUAGAGAUUUGGAGGAACACCAGUGGCGAAGGCGACUUUCUGGUCUGUAACUGACGCUGAGGCGCGAAAGCGUGGGGAGCAAACAGGAUUAGAUAYCCUGGUAGUCCACGCCGUAAACGAUGAGUGCUAAGUGUUAGGGGG
rnacentral:rRNA from 1 species